AAUCUACUCCCUCCGUUCGGAAUUACUCGUCCAAGAAAUGAAUGUAUCUAGAUGUAUUUUAGUUGUAGAUACAUUCAUUUUUGUGACAAGUAAUUCCGAACGGAGGGAGUAGUAG
rnacentral:pre_miRNA from 1 species